rnacentral:lncRNA from 1 species
ACGUGCUGGCCCUGUCCACACAGACGUCGACUCCAGCAAAAAUGUCCUGACUGACUUCAGGAGAGAGGAAUUAUUGCUACGUGCCUCUUUCCCAGUGAAGAAAAUCUCUGUUGGCUGCGAGCAGAGAAGCGGCGGAAGGAUUCCCGACUCCGGGAAGCCAGGUGUCGGAAGGAGGAAGUACGCUUGAAGGGGGUCCGGCUGGCCGACUCUGCACUCGUCCGUUCGUGGCCCACCGUGGUGGUCACCAAAUUGAGGGCUUCCUGGAAGGACCUCCUCACGGUGCCCAUCCACUGGGUCAUGUGGGUCUGGGCCACUGUGAGUUUAUCUCCCAGGUAAUCCAUGGGGCCAGCCAGGAGGAGAGGGAAGAAGGAAGUUAGGGAGGGAGAGAGCAAUUAAAACGCCAGUGUCCUCUUGCCUCUUUGGACUCUUUUGCUCAUGGAAGUUUUGGGCUUGCUUGGAGGAAAAAAAAUUAAAAACAGCAGCUUUCUUCAGGCAAACCAAGGGUAAGUAAACAUCCCUGAGCCAGGAGCCGGCUGCAUCCACGGGUGCCGCUCAGAAUUAAGAGGCAGCUAAGUGCCAGGCUGGGAGUCCACCCCAGCGGAGUUAUAAAGUCAACACACUGGGCAGUCCAGGUUCCAGUUCCAGGGCUCACCCAGCUGAUCGGCCGAGACAAGGAGCUUUGAGGAACAAGCCGGCUGCACUCACUCCAGGGCGUGACGGUCCCGAAAGGCGGGGGAUGGGGAUGGGGGUGGGGGUGGAGGGGGCGGCCUUUGGGCACCCUCGUCCUCACUUCCCUUCAGGUAGGCAGCCCCCCUGAGGUGCACCCUGGGAGGUUCCGGUGGGCAAGCUGCCGCACCCUGCUGCCCCCUGCCCGGCUGCCCUCGGCCAGACCCCGCUCACCUGACCCAUGCAGGUUUUCUGUCCUCUGGCUGGAGAUUCCAAACCUGUCGGCCGGCAGGCGGCUAGCUCACUUCCGGAGGCAGCCACCAGGGCCCCCGGGUCCCCUGGCUGAGCAGCCCGGGAUGACAUCAGCCCCCGUCUUAGCGAGGGGCUUCGCUGCCCAGGAAUGCAGGAGGGGCCUCGGGGAGGCGGAGGCGGUGGCGGCGGCCGCCCAGGGAGCUGACGUCCGCCCCCAUUUUUUUCUCCCCCAAGUCCCAACUCGCUCACGGUCCCUCGGGGCUGAUGGCAACUUCACGUGCCUGCCAGCCUACCCACCCCUGUGCCCUCACAGCAAGCGCACCAGGAAAUGCGGCUGCACGUGUGUGCAUGUGUGUGCACUCUGUGUGUGUGUGCGUGUAUGUCGGCGAUCUGGCAGCCCCGGGAAGGUUAGCACUGCUGGGAAACGGCUUCUGCCUCUAAGGUUACAGGCAGCGUCUUGGGACCUCUGGUCGGCUGUCAGUCUGUCUCCCUCUCGUGGUCUGUUUCUCUGUUGAUUUCUCAGCCUCGCUCUCCUCCCUCUCCCUGUGUCUCAACUUCCACUUGCUUGUCUCUAAGCGUCUCUCCUCUCUCUCUCCUUUUCAGCUGUCUCUCCCUCCCUCUCUGGAAGGCAACACUGAUCCAGGUGGAGCAACACCGUCAGUCAGAAGGCAGCGGAUGGCACAGGGCUUCCGCGUAAGGCCUGCAUCGCCUGAGUCAUGGUUUUCUCAUCUUGUAUGAGGCCCACCCCCUUCAAAAGGUUGUGACAAAAAAAACAACUGAGAUAAUUUGUGCCGCUGGCACAUAGUUAACACUCAAUAAGGCCGGGCGCAGUGGCUUACACCUCUAAUCCCAGCACUUUGGGAGGCUGAGGCAGGUGGAUCACUUGAGGCCAGGAGUUCGAUACCAGCCUGACCAACAUGGUGAAACCCCAUCUCAACUAAAAAUACAAAAAUUAGCCAGGCAUGGUGGUGUGCACCUGUAGUCCCAGCUACUUGGGAGCCUGAGGCAGGAGCAUCUCUUGAACCCGGGAGGUGGAGGUUGCAGUGAGCGGAGAUGGCACCACUGCACUCCAGCCUGGGCGACAGAACAAGACUCUGUCUCAAAACAACAACAACAACAAAAUAAUAAAUGGUGACCACAAGGGAUGAUCGUUUUUCUAUUAUAAUUCCUAUCAUCUCACUGUUCAAAUGAAUCACAGGACCCUAGACAGUCAGAAUCAAGACACCAGCAGGGACCAACCUAGGCCAACCUUCCCACUAAACUGAAGAAACAGGCCCAGACCGAGGGCUGCCCUAAGGCCUCACAGUCCAUCUGCAGCAGG